UUGGAGGGAAUAUAUAGCGAAAGCUAAUUGGACCUAUCUGGUACAAUAUCGAUUUAAUCGAAUAAAAUUNUUGGGUGGAUUUUGAUAAUGACAUUAUCUAUCUAUAUUUCUUGACCAAAUACGUGCCAGCAGUCGCGGUAACACGUUACAGAUAAGUGUUAUUCAUCUUUAUUUGGUUUAAAGGGUACCUAGACAGCAUACCAAGCUUUUCUAUAUGAAGUUAGGACUAGUUUGCUAGAGUUAUAUGCGAGGGGGCUCAUAUGUACUAUCGGUGCAAUUAGAGAUGAAAUUUUUUGAUACCUUAUCCAGGAUAUUUAUGGCACGGGUAUAGGCGAAAGCAUCCCCUUAUGUAAUAACUGACGUUGAAGGACGAAGGCUUUGGUAACGAACAGGAUUAGAUACCCUAAUAGUCAAGGCAGAAAACGCUGAGUGUCAUAGAUUAGGUAUUUUCUUCUUCUAUAAAUGAAAGUGUAAGCACUCCACCUCAAGAGUAAUUUGGCAACAUUGGAACUGAAAUCAUUAGACCGUUUCUGAAACCAGUAGUGAAGUAUGUUGUUUAAUUAGAUAAUACACAAAAAACCUUACCACAGUUUGAAUAUUUAUAGUUAUUGUUUUCUUGCUUAAAAAGAGCAAGAUCAAGUUCAACAAAAAUUAUUUACACAAGCGUUGCACGGUUGUCUUUAGUUAAUGUCGCGAGACUCUGGUUAGCUCCACAAAUUAACGUGAACCCUCACUCUACUUAUGUGUAGAGUUGUUCCCCCAUUAUAUUUGGAUCUGAUAAAC
rnacentral:rRNA from 1 species